UGCAAGUCGAACGAUGAAGCCCAGCUUGCUGGGUGGAUUAGUGGCGAACGGGUGAGUAACACGUGAGUAACCUGCCCUUAACUCUGGGAUAAGCCUGGGAAACUGGGUCUAAUACCGGAUAGGAGCGUCUACCGCAUGGUGGGUGUUGGAAAGAUUUAUCGGUUUUGGAUGGACUCGCGGCCUAUCAGCUUGUUGGUGAGGUAAUGGCUCACCAAGGCGACGACGGGUAGCCGGCCUGAGAGGGUGACCGGCCACACUGGGACUGAGACACGGCCCAGACUCCUACGGGAGGCAGCAGUGGGGAAUAUUGCACAAUGGGCGCAAGCCUGAUGCAGCGACGCCGCGUGAGGGAUGACGGCCUUCGGGUUGUAAACCUCUUUCAGUAGGGAAGAAGCGAAAGUGACGGUACCUGCAGAAGAAGCACCGGCUAACUACGUGCCAGCAGCCGCGGUAAUACGUAGGGUGCGAGCGUUAUCCGGAAUUAUUGGGCGUAAAGAGCUCGUAGG
rnacentral:rRNA from 1 species